AGCUGUGUGCGCGUGCAGCGCCUGAUAGCGCAGUCUGUAGGCGCUCGUGCCGUCCGCCCUCACAUCAGUCCGGACAACGAGCUCCUCGCCGGAUGAGGGCGCAGCGUCGUGCGCUUCUUAAGGUUGCGCCGAGCGCGAUGGAUACCACGCUCCACCUCUCCUCGCCUCUGACUUUAAUCGUGGAAAUCACAGCAUCAGACUGACAUUCCUCUGCUCACAAGCUGCUGGUCCCGGGGAUGCUGCUGACUUCAGUAUUUUAACUCUUGUCUCUAGAGAUCGCCGGGUGCUCGACUUACAUCAGAGUGAAAACCUUUGGGACAAUUUACACAACUCGUAAGUUUAAAAACCUUUGACCGUUGUUUUAAAAUAAAGGCCGUUGAGUCAUUUCUUAUUGCUGCUCUACUAAGGUGGUCAACCUCAUGGAUGCCAAAGAGCAGAUCAGAAAACUUGCCAGGGAAAAAGACGACUGCAUCGUAAAAGUGAUUAACUAUCACAACACGACCUUUUAUCUAGGGUCUAAAAAGCUGGAAUGUC